rnacentral:rRNA from 1 species
UACGGAAGGCAGCAGUGGGGAAUAUUGCACAAUGGGCGCAAGCCUGAUGCAGCCAUGCCGCGUGUAUGAAAAAGGGCCUUUCGGGGUUGUAAAGUACUUUCAGUCGUGAGGAAGGUGUUAAGGUUAAUAACCUUAGCAAUUGACGUUAGCGACAGAAGAAGCACCGGCUAACUCCGUGCCAGCAGCCGCGGUAAUACGGAGGGUGCGAGCGUUAAUCGGAAUUACUGGGCGUAAAGGGCACGCAGGCGGUUAAUUAAGUUGGAUGUGAAAUCCCCGGGCUUAACCUGGGAAUGGCAUUCAAGACUGGUUAGCUAGAGUCUUGUAGAGGGGGUAGAAUUCCAUGUGUAGCGGUGAAAUGCGUAGAGAUGUGGAGGAAUACCGGUGGCGAAGGCGGCCCCUGGACAAAGACUGACGCUCGAUGUGCGAAAGCGUGGGGAGCAAACAGGGAUUAGAUACC